rnacentral:rRNA from 1 species
CCUACGGGCGGCUGCAGUGGGGAAUAUUGGACAAUGGGGGCAACCCUGAUCCAGCCAUGCCGCGGGUGUGAAGAAGGCCCUCGGGUUGUAAAGCACUUUCAGGGAGGAAGAACGCCUGGUGGUUAAUACCCAUCAGGAAAGACAUCACUCACAGAAGAAGCACCGGCUAACUCCGUGCCAGCAGCCGCGGUAAUACGGAGGGUGCGAGCGUUAAUCGGAAUUACUGGGCGUAAAGCGCGCGUAGGUGGCUUGAUAAGCCGGUUGUGAAAGCCCCGGGCUCAACCUGGGAACGGCAUCCGGAACUGUCAAGCUAGAGUGCAGGAGAGGAAGGUAGAAUUCCCGGUGUAGCGGUGAAAUGCGUAGAGAUCGGGAGGAAUACCAGUGGCGAAGGCGGCCUUCUGGACUGACACUGACACUGAGGUGCGAAAGCGUGGGUAGCAAACAGGAUUAGAUACCCCGGUAGUC